UUCACAGUACGUAUACUAAAAAAAAAAUCAAACAAUACAGGGAAGAUAGGCAUGACCUCUCAGCAAGGAUGACACAUAAAUUCAUGAACCGUCAUAUAUACAC